rnacentral:sRNA from 1 species
UACUGUGUUGUGCUUUGGAGACAUCGGU